rnacentral:ncRNA from 1 species
AGGUGAGGACGACCUCGCACCUUCCUAAAUCCGGUAGGGACGGCCCUG